rnacentral:rRNA from 1 species
CUCUCUGAGACGUGAUACCGAGCCGCUUCAGGCGAAGUCAUUGAUCCUAUGCUGCCUAGAAAAGCCCAGCAGCGAGUUGACAUGGUGCCCGUACCCCAAACCAACACAGGUGGACAGGUAGAGCAUACCAAGGCGAGUGGGAUAACUAUGGUUAAGGAACUCGGCAAAUUGCCUCCGUAACUUCGGGAGAAGGAGGACCCCAGUAGCGUGAUGAGACUUGCUCUCUGAGCGUGAAGGGGUGGCACAAAAUUGAGGGAAGCGACUGUUUACCAAAAACACAGCAGCGUGCUAAGCCGUAAGGCGCUGUAUACGCUGUGACUCCUGCCCGGUGCUGGAAGGUUACGGGGAUGGGUUAGUCCUUCGGGACGAAGCUCUGAACCUAAGCCCCAGUAAACGGCGGCCGUAACUAUAACGGUCCUAAGGUAGCGAAAUUCCUUGUCGGGUAAGUUCCGACCUGCACGAAUGGAGUAACGACUUCCCUACUGUCUCAACCAUAGACCCAGCGAAAUUGAAGUACGAGUAAAGAUGCUCGUUAGCUGCAGAAGGACGGAAAGACCCCGUGGACCUUUACUAUAACUUGAUGUUGUGUUUUGUCAUAUGUUGUGUAGGAUAGGUGGGAGACUUGGAAGCAUGGACGCUAGUCUGUGUGGAGUCAUCGUUGAAAUACCACCCUGCAUAUGGUGAGGCUCUAACCUAGACCCGUUAUCCGGGUUGGGGACAGCGUCAGGCGGGUAGUUUAACUGGGGCGGUUGCCUCCUAAAGAGUAACGGAGGCGCCCAAAGGUUCCCUCAGCCUGGUUGGCAAUCAGGCGUUGAGUGCAAUGGCAAAAGGGAGCUUGACUGCGAGACCUACAAGUCGAGCAGGAGCGAAAGCUGGGCAUAGUGAUCCGGCGGUUGCGUGUGGAAGCGCCGUCGCUCAACGGAUAAAAGGUACCCCGGGGAUAACAGGCUAAUCUUGCCCAAGCGUCCAUAGCGACGGCAAGGUUUGGCACCUCGAUGUCGGCUCAUCGCAUCCUGGGGCUGAAGCAGGUCCCAAGGGUUGGGCUGUUCGCCCAUUAAAGCGGUACGCGAGCUGGGUUCAGAACGUCGUGAGACAGUUCGGUCCCUAUCCUCUGCAGCCGGAGGUGAAUUGAGGAAAGCUGUCCCUAGUACGAGAGGACCGGGACGGACGCAGCUCUCGUGUGCCAGUUGUCCUGCCAAGGGCAUGGCUGGUUAGCGACCUGCGGAAAGGAUAACCGCUGAAAGCAUCUAAGCGGGAAGCCUCUUCCAAGAUGAAUUCACCCACAGGGUUAACCUGGUAAGGCCCGUGGUAGACCACCACGUUGAUAGGCCGGAAGUGUAAGCGUGGCAACACGUUCAGCUGACCGGUACUAAUCGGCCGAGGGCUUGAGUC